AAAGGUAAGCUACUAAGAGCAAAUGGUGGAUGCCUUGGCUAGUAGAGGCGAUGAAAGACGUGCCAGGCUGCGAUAAGUCUCGGGGAGCCGUCAAGGGGCUUUGAUCCGGGAAUUUCUGAAUGGGGCAACCCAGUAUAUAGUGAUAUAUACUACCGCAAUGCGGAGCUAACGUUGGGAAUUGAAACAUCUUAGUACCAACAGGAAAAGAAAUCAAAAGAGAUUACGCUAGUAGCGGCGAGCGAACGCGUAAGAGGGCAAACCGUUAGUUUACUAACGGGGUUGUAGGACUGCAACAUAGACUUAAACAAACUAAUAGAAUAACCUGGAAAGGUUGGCCAUAGAGGGUGAUAGCCCCGUAUAUGAAAGUGCGUUUAUACUUAGCAGUAUCCUGAGUAGGGCGGGACACGUGAAAUCCUGUCUGAAGCUGGGGAGACCACUCUCCAACCCUAAAUACUACUACUAGACCGAUAGUGCACAAGUACCGUGAGGGAAAGGUGAAAAGAACUGAGGUGAUCAGAGUGAAAUAGAACCUGAAACCAUUUGCUUACAAUCAUUCAGAGCACGAUUCUUUAUGACGUGUGAUGGACUGCCUUUUGCAUAAUGAGCCUGCGAGUUGUGGUGUCUGGCGAGGUUAAGGAAACCCGGAGCCGUAGCGAAAGCGAGUCUUAAUAGGGCGUAUAGUCAGAUGCUGCAGACCCGAAACGAUGUGAUCUAUCCAUGAGCAGGUUGAAACUGGUGUAAGAGCCAGCGGAGGACCGAACAGACGGCCGUUGAAAAGGCUCCUGAUGACUUGUGGAUAGGGGUGAAAGGCCAAUCAAACAUCGUGAUAGCUGGUUCU
rnacentral:rRNA from 1 species